UAAUAUUGUAAAAAUAAAAAUAUUUAUUCAGUGUAAGAAUUUGUAAUGAUCACAAAAUGUUCACAGCUUAUAUUUUAGUACAGUUUCAAAUGCCUAGUGCAAUUGCUAUUUAUUUCUGUGUGUAUUUUAAACAUGUAUAUAAUAAAUAUUUUUCAGGUUCAACAAUAUAUAUCAAUCCAACUGGCUCUUAUAAAUAUUAGUUAACAUCAAUUGGUAAAUUCAUAUAUAUAUAUACACACACGUGACUCAGUCUGUAUGCGUGUAUGUGUGUGUAAAUGUAACUGUAUGUGUGUGUAAAUGUAACUGGAUGCAUCCUAAUAUUUACCCUUACCUACAAGAUUUCCAAGACUCAUUUAUUCUCUUUAAAUGGUGUGCCUUGAAAGAUUUACCAAAUAAAACCGCAAUCGUGGAAUAUAUCAAGAUGUUAUUAAAUUCAUCUUGUGCACAUAAUUGUUUCUUUAAAUUUAUGUUUCUUGCAAAACUUGCGGUAAUGCUCAUGCACAAAAUAAUUUUCUAAAUAAAAAAUAAAAACAUUUUCUCAGUCAUUAAUUCUUAAAAAGUAUUUCUCCCCAGUAAUUAAUGCGAAUUCAUUCUUAAUUCUUAAUUAUAGAAUAAUGUUGCCCUUCAGAGUUCUGAAUCUUUUGCACGUUGUAUACAUUUCACUGACUGGAACAUCUUCUGGAAUAUUGGCAUUAAUUAAUCUCACUCAGCAAUUAAUGAUUUCAAAGAAAUUAAAUACCAUUCAUAUUCUGAAUCACAAGGGUACUUUGGCACCUAAUUUAAUCAAGCUCUUUGUAUCAUCAUCUACAGUUUAAUUACUUAACAAACAUUUCUUUGUGUGAGAAAGAUUGAGCAGGUUAUUGUGCUUUUCGUUGUAUACAUUUCACUAAGUAGAACAUCUUCUGGAAUAUUGGCAUUAAUUAAUCUCACUCAGCAAUUAAUGAUUUCAAAGAAAUUAAAUACCAUUCAUAUUCUGAAUCACAAGGGUACUUUGGCAUCUAAUUUAAUCAAGCUCUUUGUAUCAUCAUCUACACUUUAAUUACUUAACAAACAUUUCUCUGUGUGAGAAAGAUUGAGCAGGUUAUUGUGCUUUUUUAUGAUGCAACUUUUGCUUAAUCUAGAGAUAGGCAAUGCUCCCUAUAAGGGACAAAGAGAAAAAUGAAAGAGCAAUAGAGAUGUGACAGGCAUGGAAAAAGACAAUACAUUUAUAAAACAAAUAGGGCCACAGAUGAUGAUAAUGGGGAUCAAAUCUUGAGAUACUGACUCAGUUUAUAACCGCACUGUACAAUAGAGCAAAUCAUUUGUUAAUUAUUUUACAAAUGGAAUCUAAUUUAACUAAGAUGAAUACAGUGUUUUAAACAAGGCAGGUCAUCUUAAAAUAAAAUAGUGGGAAAAGUGAUAAAACCAAUGUAAAAAUCAUAAACAUUUUAUAAAGAAUUUUUGUCAUGUAAUUUAAUAUUUUUCUUUAUUUAAAAUCACCCAAAUCAAAAUAAUUUUAUCUUAAUUAACAAAUAAUCAUCAGAAGUUAACUAAUUUUUACUUUAUAAUACUAGGUUUAAAAAUUCUUCACUAUAUUUUUAAUCAUACAUGCUUAUACAUAAAAUAGACAUAGGGUAUAUGUUUACAUGUUCACAAUAUUAUAUUGUAAUUGUUCCUAUGGAUGUGGUUUUUCAAUAGAAUUAAUAAGUACUUUUAAAAAGUUUCAAUUUCAAUGAUAUAUAUGUUUGAUUUUUCUUUGACAAAGCAUACAUAUAUUGAUAGGUAAUAAUAAGAAAAUCUUCUAAAGACAUUACAGGAACAUGAAUAAGUAAUUAAAUCCUCAAUAAUUUGUAACGUUUUAUGUAAGCGGAACACAUUUAACUGAAAAUUGCUUUUAUAUAAUACUCAAACGAGACUAAAAACAUAUUAACUAGCGGAGUAAGUCUUCAAAUUGAUAAUCUGAACUAUAGAAGAGGAGAAACUUCAAGCACUCAAAUAUUUGAAAUGCUACAAAAUAUUUAUAUAAACUAUUAUUUAACAAUUUCUGUUUGUAGAGUGCUAUAGAGUAAUCCAUAUAAAUGACAUCUCAGUCUUUCUAUAGCUUUGACCACAUUUACCUCCUAAUUUUAAUUAUUAAUAUGUUGGAGCAGUGCAUACAACUAGAUUCCGAUCUUCCUUUUUAAUGAGUAAAAAUAUGUCCUUUGAGACAGCAUUAAAGAAAGAGCACCUUGUAUAAAUUCAAUGCCAAGAGACAAGAUAUUCUUGAUGCUGAAGUCUUGUUCUUUUAUACAGCAAUGUAAUUAAUAAGAAGAAGAAAAGCAGGACAUAGAGAUGGAGUCUAUUUUCAUCAAAAAUUGUCUAUAGAUUUUGAUGAUAAAAUUUAAAACUCUACUAUAUUUAGUUAGUCACAAAAAACUAGGUUGUGGGAACAUAUUUGGUCAAUAAAACACCCCUACCAAAUGCCGACAAGAAAAAAAGUUAGGUACCACCUUUCUUCUCUGCAGAUGGCCUGAGAUGGGUUAAUUUGAAAGAAUGCUUCCAAACCUGAGGUGACCCCUGAGAACAGCAUAAUCCACUGCUGUCUCCCACAUUCAGUUUCUCAGUCUGUGCUCUUUUAAUUUUGGGGGGAGGGAAGCCAGUCCUUUAAAGCGAUCUUCAGCAUGAUGGCAGAGCCAAGGAGUGUGGACAGGUGGCACGGUGUCUGAUUUUGUUCCAGCAGCCACUUGGGCUUUCUCUGGGUCUUCUCUGCCCUCGGGAUAGCACUACUAUUGAAAACAUGUCUUUGUGACAUUCUCUAUGCCAGGAACUCCCAACAUAUUUUCCUUGAAACUCUCUUAACACGUGUGGUAUUGGCUUUUCUGUCUUUCCUGUUUUAUUUUGUUCUCUUUUCCUUGUCUCACUUUCGCUGUGUCCUCACUCCAGUAAUGUGUGAGAAGUAUUAGAAUAAUGCUUGUAUUUCUGGAUUGGCAUCGAUUUCUAUUGAGACUGGAAACAUACUAGAAGUGAGCAAAAAAGAAUUUAAAUAGUGGAUACUUGAGUUUUAUACCUAGGAGUUCGAGAAAUACAUUUUGUUACUAUCAAAGCAGUUGGCACAAGAGUGUACAACAUUCCCUAAUUGUGUCUAUGUGGUGAAGACAUAGACAAACAGAAAAUAGCAAAACAGAAAUAGCAAAAAAGCACAAAUAAAUUUUACCUGUAUUUUUACGUAAAAGCCAAUUAGAGUAGGAAAACAUGAAAUUUGUGUUUUAUCGAAAUUUUUCUCUUAUAGUAUAGUUGAUUAUAUUACUGGAAAAAAA
rnacentral:lncRNA from 1 species